rnacentral:rRNA from 1 species
AGCAGCCGCGGUAAUUCCAGCUCCAAUAGCGUAUAUUAAAGUUGCUGCAGUUAAAAAGCUCGUAGUUGAAUUUCGGGACUGAUAUGUCGGUCGUGCCUCGGUACGUACUGGUAUUUUUGGUUUCUCCCUUCUGACGAACCUUGAUGUCAUUAAUUUGGUGUCUUGGGAAAUCAGGACUGUUACUUUGAAAAAUUAGAGUGUUUAAAGCAGGCUCACGCUUGAAUACAUUAGCAUGGAAUAAUGAAAUAGGACGUUUGAUUUCUAUUUUGUUGGUUUCUAGGAUUGACGUAAUGAUUAAUAGGGAUAGUUGGGGGCAUUAGUAUUCAAUUGUCAGAGGUGAAAUUCUUGGAUUUAUUGAAGACUAACUACUGCGAAAGCAUUUGCCAAGGAUGUUUUCAUUAAUCAAGAACGAAAGUUAGGGGAUCGAAGACGAUCAGAUACCGUCGUAGUCUUAACCAUAAACUAUGCCGACUAGGGAUCGGAUGAUGUUAAUUUUUAAUGUAACUCA